UAGGGAAUCUUCCACAAUGGGCGCAAGCCUGAUGGAGCAACACCGCGUGAGUGAAGAAGGGUUUCGGCUCGUAAACUCUGUUGUUAAAGAAGAACAUAUCUGAGAGUAACUGUUCAGGUAUUGACGGUAUUUAACCAGAAAGUCACGGCUAACUACGUGCCAG
rnacentral:rRNA from 1 species